AUUAUGGCUCAGGAUGAACGCUAGCGGCAGGCUUAACACAUGCAAGUCGAGGGGCAUCGGGAGUAGCAAUACUGCCGGCGACCGGCGCAAGGGUGCGUAACGCGUGAGCAACAUGCCCGUAUCAGGGGGAUAAUCCAUGGAAACGUGGUCUAAUACCCCAUAGUAAUUAUGUAAGGCAUCUUAUAUAAUUUAAAGCUUUGGUGGAUACGGAUUGGCUCGCGUGACAUUAGCUGGAUGGUAAGGUAACGGCUUACCAUGGCUACGAUGUCUAGGGGUUCUGAGAGGAAGGUCCCCCCACACUGGAACUGAGACACGGUCCAGACUCCUACGGGAGGCAGCAGUGAGGAAUAUUGGACAAUGGAUGGAAAUCUGAUCCAGCCAUGCCGCGUGCAAGGAAGACGGCCCUAUGGGUUGUAAACUGCUUUUGUAUGGGAGCAAUAAGGGCUACGUGUAGUCCGAUGAGAGUACCAUACGAAUAAGCACCGGCUAACUCCGUGCCAGCCGCGGC
rnacentral:rRNA from 1 species